CUUCGGUGAUGACGCUGGGAACGCGAGCGGCGGAUGGGUGAGUAACACGUGGGUAACCUGCCCUAAAGUCUGGGAUACCACUUGGAAACAGGUGCUAAUACCGGAUAACAACAAUAGCUGCAUGGCUAUUGCUUAAAAGGCGGCGAAAGCUGUCGCUAAAGGAUGGACCCGCGGUGCAUUAGCUAGUUGGUAAGGUAAUGGCUUACCAAGGCGACGAUGCAUAGCCGAGUUGAGAGACUGAUCGGCCACAUUGGGACUGAGACACGGCCCAAACUCCUACGGGAGGCAGCAGUAGGGAAUCUUCCACAAUGGGCGAAAGCCUGAUGGAGCAACGCCGCGUGAGUGAAGAAGGUUUUCGGAUCGUAAAGCUCUGUUGUUGGUGAAGAAGGAUAGAGGUAGUAACUGGCCCCUAUUUGACGGUAAUCAACCAGAAAGUCACGGCUAACUACGUGCCAGCAGCCGCGGUAAUACGUAGGUGGCAAGCGUUGUCCGGAUUUAUUGGGCGUAAAGCGAGCGCAGGCGGAAAGAUAAGUCUGAUGUGAAAGCCCCCGGCUUAACCGAGGAAUUGCAUCGGAAACUGUGUUUCUUGAGUGCAGAAGAGGAGAGUGGAACUCCAUGUGUAGCGGUGGAAUGCGUAGAUAUAUGGAAGAACACCAGUGGCGAAGGCGGCUCUCUGGUCUGUAACUGACGCUGAGGCUCGAAAGCAUGGGUAGCGAACAGGAUUAGAUACCCUGGUAGUCCAUGCCGUAAA
rnacentral:rRNA from 1 species